GACGAACGCUGGCGGCGUGCUUAACACAUGCAAGUCGAGCGAUGAAGUAUUUUCGGAAAUGGAUUAGCGGCGAACGGGUGAGGAACACGUGAAGAAUCUGCCCUCCACUUUGGGAUAACACAGGGAAACCUGUGCUAAUACCGAAUAUUGAAACAUAAGUGGCAUCACUGAGUUCUGAAAGAAUUUCGGUGGAGGAUGACUUCGCGGCCUAUCAGCUAGUUGGUGAGGUAAUGGCUCACCAAGGCAACGACGGGUAGCCGGCCUGAGAGGGCGACCGGCCACACUGGGACUGAGACACGGCCCAGAAUCCUACGGGAGGCAGCAGUGGGGAAUAUUGGGCAAUGGAGGAAACUCUGACCCAGCGACGCCACGUGCGGGAUGAAGGCCUUCGGGUUGUAAACCGCUUUCAGUAGGGAAGAAGCGAAAGUGACGGUACCUACAAAAGAAGCACCGGCUAACUAUGUGCCAGCCGCCGCCGUAA
rnacentral:rRNA from 1 species